AAACGAACAUCGUCUUCAAGUGGUCAGAUGCUGUUUUAGUUUCGAUUUGAGGGUGUUUAUCUACUUUCUAUGGCCUUACACAGCUGGAACUGGAGCAGAUAUCUUGAGCUGUCAACAUUUCUCUGAUCUUUCCAAUUGUCAUUGGAAACUUCAGCAGAUGCAGAAGAUCACGACUGCAGUGACAAUCCACAGAGAUCCAACAACAGCAGAAACCAGCACUAUCAGAGAUACAGAGACUGGAGGAACUGAAGAAGAGUAAAAGAGAGACAGUCAUGAAUGUCUUGUAGACGUGCUGGUCCACGCUUCCUACAAGUGGGUGGCGGUAAUGCUCCAGCUCGUUUGUCAACCGCCACUAAACCGAAGAAGAAGAAGAAGAAGAAGAAGAAGAAGAAGAAGAAGAAGAAGAAGUAGAAGUAGAGGUACUAGUCAGACAGUUUAUUAGUUUCGUUUCUGAGGCUGUGUUUAUCUGCUUUCUCUGGCGGUUUUUAGGUUUACAACACCGACACAUUAGGUGGAGACACAUUCAUUUGAUGAUGGAUGCUAUUUACUUAAAACGCAACAACAUGACAGCUUUGCAGACCAACAAUCACAAAAGACAAACAAACACAAACAGACGAAAAGAUCCCUAGCAGACGGAUCUGAACGGAUGCUAGUGUUGUGGCGGGUGUGUUAUAAACAGUAGAGAGGGUUAUUUAGUGUCACUGCACACGUGUAUUAAUGUUUUAUUAUCAUGCAGCAUGAAAUACUCGACACAUUUGAUGCUCUUUAUUUGACUGUAAGACUGUUUUAUGUGACCACCGCUCAUGUUUGCGUGACGUCAUAAAACCGGGCGGCAUCGCUGUACCCCAGGAGGGGUGUACAUAGCGCCCUUGUGUCACUUUUAAAAAGUGUGACAACUUUACCGCAAAGUUUCAGUGUGUUCCAGACACGAAUGAUUCAUGUGUUCCCUUGUGUUGCUGAGGAGGGGUGUGCUGUUAUUUAAAGUGACCAGACUUAUGUUUUUCGAGGAGGAAUCAGGUGAAAAGUCCCUCCGAGACAUAUCUACAGACCAGAAUAUGACAGAGAAUUUAUCAUAUCAGUCAUGUGGGCUCUUCUGACCAGUAAACAACACAAACAGUUACACAGAGCACACUAGCAGCAGAAGUGAAGCUACAGGUUUUCAGCUGUGGCCCACCCACUGCAUUCAUUUCUGUGGUCCUCGAUAUCUACUCUCUGAACGUAAAACUGAGACACUUGAUUAUGAGAUCAUCUGCGAAGCCUCAUCGUCUAAGUUUUAUGAAGGACUACCCACUUAACAUUUCUGGCAUCACCCCCUGACUAACAGAUGAUGUUACACAGCUGGAACUGGAGCAGAUAUCGUGAGCUGUCAGCAUUUCUCUGAUCUUUACAAUGAUCACUGGAAACUUCAGAUGCAGAAGAUCAUGACUGCAGCUACAAUCAACAGAGAUCCAGCAACAGCUGCAGAGAUCAGCACUAUCAGAGACACAGAGACUGGAGGAACUGAUGAAGAGAAAAAGAGACAGUCAUGAAUGUAAGUGAUUAAAUCAGUCUUACCUACAACAGAAGACAGAGAUCAGAUCAGUAAAUAAACACAUAUAUCAGCUCUGCUGUACCUGAACAUGUGU